rnacentral:lncRNA from 1 species
UCACUCUGUUUGAGGCUGUCUGCUGGGACUGUGUUAUCAAAGUCGCGGUGGAACACUCACGUGCUAUGUGCCCCUCCUGUCCGCACCUGAAACAUGCUGUUGUCCCUACUAAACAGACUCCCUUGUGCGGCCUACCACACCUCGGACAUUUGGAGUUGUUCAAACCAGAGCUCAAUCCCUCACCUCUUCCCAGACCAGACUUGAUCUGCUUCCAGAACUCGUUCUUCUUUGAUCGUCUGAGGCCUCUACCUCCCUUCUUCCUUUCUAUACCAGCCUCGUGCAGAGAGGAGAGAUUCACAUCACUUGUCCCUGCAAGUUUGGCACUAGCUUCUCUCUUCUGUGCCAUAUCUACUAUAUCAUGGAACCUCUUCCUUGCGCUAUCUGGAAAAGUCCCUUCGGCAAACUUUGUUGC